rnacentral:tRNA from 1 species
UAGAAGGUGGUGUAGUGGAAGCACUAAGAGUUUUGAUCUCUUGAGUAUGGGUUCGAGCCCCUUCCUUCUAG